rnacentral:rRNA from 1 species
GAUGAACGCUGGCGGCGUGCCUAAUACAUGCAAGUCGAGCGAACGGACGAGAAGCUUGCUUCUCUGAUGUUAGCGGCGGACGGGUGAGUAACACGUGGAUAACCUACCUAUAAGACUGGGAUAACUUCGGGAAACCGUAGCUAAUACCGGAUAAUAUUUUGAACCGCAUGGUUCAAAAGUGAAAGACGGUCUUGCUGUCACUUAUAGAUGGAUCCGCGCUGCAUUAGCUAGUUGGUAAGGUAACGGCUUACCAAGGCAACGAUGCAUAGCCGACCUGAGAGGGUGAUCGGCCACACUGGAACUGAGACACGGUCCAGACUCCUACGGGAGGCAGCAGUAGGGAAUCUUCCGCAAUGGGCGAAAGCCUGACGGAGCAACGCCGCGUGAGUGAUGAAGGUCUUCGGAUCGUAAAACGCUGUUAUUAGUGAAGAACAUAUGUGUAAGUAACUGUGCACAUCUUGACGGUACCUAAUCAGAAAGCCACGGCUAACUACGUG